rnacentral:rRNA from 1 species
UAACGCGUGGGCAACCUGCCUUACACAGGGGGAUAACAAUUAGAAAUGAUUGCUAAUACCGCAUAAGACCCCGGUACCGCAUGGUACAGGGGUAAAAACUGAGGUGGUGUAAGAUGGGCCCGCGUCUGAUUAGGUAGUUGGUGGGGUAGAAGCCUACCAAGCCGACGAUCAGUAGCCGACCUGAGAGGGCGACCGGCCACAUUGGGACUGAGACACGGCCCAAACUCCUACGGGAGGCAGCAGUGGGGAAUAUUGCACAAUGGGGGAAACCCUGAUGCAGCGACGCCGCGUGAGUGAGGAAGUAUUUCGGUAUGUAAAGCUCUAUCAGCAGGGAAGAAAAUGACGGUACCUGACUAAGAAGCCCCGGCUAACUACGUGCCAGCAGCCGCGGUAAUACGUAGGGGGCAAGCGUUAUCCGGAUUUACUGGGUGUAAAGGGAGCGUAGACGGAAUUGCAAGUCUGAUGUGAAAAUCCGGGGCCCAACCCCGGAACUGCAUUGGAAACUGUAUUUCUAGAGUGUCGGAGAGGCAAGUGGAAUUCCUGGUGUAGCGGUGAAAUGCGUAGAUAUCAGGAGGAACACCAGUGGCGAAGGCGGCUUGCUGGACGAUGACUGACGUUGAGGCUCGAAAGCGUGGGGAGCAAACAGGAUUAGAUACCCUGGUAGU